rnacentral:rRNA from 1 species
UACAGAGGGUGCAAGCGUUAAUCGGAAUUACUGGGCGUAAAGCGUGCGUAGACGGUCAUGUAAGUCGGGUGUGAAAGCCCCGGGCUCAACCUGGGAAUUGCAUUCGAGACUGCAUGGCUAGGGUGCGGAAGAGGGAAGCGGAAUUUCCGGUGUAGCGGUGAAAUGCGUAGAUAUCGGAAGGAACACCAGUGGCGAAAGCGGCUUUCUGGUCUGUAACUGACGCUGAGGCGCGAAAGCGUGGGGAGCAAACAGG